rnacentral:piRNA from 1 species
UAAUAUGUGGGCCUUAGGGUGCAUCCACUCC